rnacentral:rRNA from 1 species
UACGAAGGGGGCUAGCGUUGCUCGGAAUCACUGGGCGUAAAGCGCACGUAGGCGGAUUGUUAAGUCAGGGGUGAAAUCCUGGAGCUCAACUCCAGAACUGCCUUUGAUACUGACGGUCUUGAGUCCGGGAGAGGUGAGUGGAACUCCGAGUGUAGAGGUGAAAUUCGUAGAUAUUCGCAAGAACACCAGUGGCGAAGGCGGCUCACUGGUCCGGUACUGACGCUGAGGUGCGAAAGCGUGGGGAGCAAACAGG